UUAAGCAAAGAAGAGCGCAGGGUGGAUGCCUUGGCACUAAGAGCCGAAGAAAGACGUGAUAAGCUGCGAAAAGCUGCGGGGAGAUGCAAAUAAUCUUUGAUCCGCAGAUGUCUGAAUGGGGAAACCCGGUACGAAGAACUCGUAUCAUCCAUACGCCAAUCCAUAACGUAUGGAGGGGAACCCGGUGAACUGAAACAUCUAAGUAGCCGGAGGAAGAGAAAGAAACAUCGAUUUUGUUAGUAGCGGCGAGCGAAAGCGAAAGAGGCCAAACCGGAGUGCGUGCACUCCGGGGUUCGGACCGCAUUUAAGAUUCAGUGAUUCUAGCAGAAAGGUUUGGGAAAGCCUGCCGGAGAGGGUGAAAGCCCCGUAAGCGAAAGGAGAGCUGACUGAGCGGGAUCCAGAGUACAUCGAGACACGAGAAACCUUGAUGGAAUGAGCGGGGACCACCCCGUAAGCCUAAAUACUACUUAGUGACCGAUAGCGCAUAGUACUGUGAAGGAAAGGUGAAAAGGACCCCGGGAGGGGAGUGAAAGAGAACCUGAAACCCUGUGUUUACAAGCUGUGGAAGUUCUUUAAAUGAACAACCGCGUACUUUUUGUAGAACGGUCCGGCGAGUUGCGGAUACUGGCAAGGUUAAGCACUUAAGGUGCGGAGCCGAAGGGAUACCAAGUCUUAACAGGGCGUAAAGUCAGUAUACGCAGACCCGAAACCGGGUGAUCUAUCCAUGUCCAGGUUGAAGUUGUCGUAAAAGACAAUGGAGGACCGAAGCCACAUCCGUUGAAAAGGGUGGGCAUGAGGUGUGGAUAGGGGAGAAAUUCCAAUCGAACCCGGAGAUAGCUGGUUCUCCUCGAAAUAGCUUUAGGGCUAGCCUCGAUUUAGUCUUAUGGAGGUAGAGCACUGAAUUUCCGCGGGGGCGUCAAAGCUUACCAAAGAAUAUCAAACUCCGAAUGCCAUGUAGAUGAUGAUCGGGAGUCAGACUGCACGAGAUAAGUUGGGCAGUCAAAAGGGAAAGAGCCCAGACCACCGGCUAAGGUCCCAAAGUGCGUGUUAAGUGGAAAAGGAUGUGGGAAUUCGAAGACAACUAGGAUGUUGGCUCAGAAGCAGCCAUACAUUCAAAGAGUGCGUAACAGCUCACUAGUCGAGAGUUCCUGCGCCGAAAAUGUCCGGGGCUGAAACACGACACCGAAGCCGUGGACUCGCAAUGCGAGUGGUAGAGGAGCAUUCUUAAAACCGACGAAGCUGUACCGAAAGGAGCAGUGGAGGGAUAAGAAGAGAGAAUGCCGGAAUGAGUAGCGAGAGAAAGGUGGGAAUCCUUUCGGCCGAAUAUCUAAGGUUUCCAGAGUAAAGCUGAUCUGCUCUGGGUAAGUCGGGGCCUAAGCACAGGUCGCAAGACGUAAGCGAUGGAUAACAGGUUUAGAUUCCUGUACCACGCAUUAUCAGAACUGUAGGGACGCAUGUGGAAAGCACGGGCCGGGAAUGGAAAGACCGGUACAAGCGGGGUAGGUGUACAACAGGCAAAUCCGUUGUAUAAUCCGAAGACGUGAUGUGGAGCGAAAUAAAGUAGUGAAGGGUGUGAGGCAUGUGCCGUGAAAUGCUGCUAUUGUGUAAUGCGUGCCCGUACCGUAAACCGACACAGGUGGAUGAGGAGAGAAUCCUAAGGCCGACGGAAGAAGCAUUGUUAAGGAAUUCGGCAAAAUGACCCCGUAACUUCGGGAGAAGGGGUGCCUGCGAGAGCAGGCCGCAGACAAUAGGCUCAAGCAACUGUUUAGCAAAAACACAGGUCUAUGCGAAACCGAAAGGUGAAGUAUAUGGGCUGACGCCUGCCCGGUGCUGGAAGGUUAAGAGGAGAGGUUAGUCGCAAGAUGAAGCUUUGAAUUUAAGCCCCAGUAAACGGCGGCCGUAACUAUAACGGUCCUAAGGUAGCGAAAUUCCUUGUCGGGUAAGUUCCGACCCGCACGAAAGGCGUAAUGAUUUGAGCACUGUCUCGACAAUGCAUCCGGUG
rnacentral:rRNA from 1 species